AUUGAACGCUGGCGGCAUGCCUUACACAUGCAAGUCGAACGGUAACAGGUCUUCGGAUGCUGACGAGUGGCGAACGGGUGAGUAAUACAUCGGAACGUGCCUAGUAGUGGGGGAUAACUACUCGAAAGAGUGGCUAAUACCGCAUGAGAUCUACGGAUGAAAGCAGGGGAUCGCAAGACCUGGUGCUACUAGAGCGGCCGAUGGCUGAUUAGGGAGUUGGUGGGGUAAAAGCGUACCAAGCCGACGAUCUGUAGCUGGUCUGAGAGGACGAUCAGCCACACUGGGACAGAGACACGGCCCAGACUCCUACGGGAGGCAGCAGUGGGGAAUUUUGGACAAUGGGCGAAAGCCUGAUCCAGCAAUGCCGCGUGCAGGAUGAAGGCCUUCGGGUUGUAAACUGCUUUUGUACGGAACGAAAAGCCCCGGGUUAAUACCCUGGGGUCAUGACGGUACCGUAAGAAUAAGCACCGGCUAACUACGUGCCAGCCGCCGCCGUAA
rnacentral:rRNA from 1 species